rnacentral:rRNA from 1 species
UACGUAGGGUGCAAGCGUUAAUCGGAAUUACUGGGCGUAAAGCGCGUGUAGGCGGCCCGAUAAGUCCGCUGUGAAAGUCCAGGGCUCAACCCUGGGAUGCCGGUGGAUACUGUCGGGCUCGAGUCCGGAAGAGGCGAGUGGAAUUCCUGGUGUAGCGGUGAAAUGCGCAGAUAUCAGGAGGAACACCAAUGGCGAAGGCAGCUCGCUGGGACGUGACUGACGCUGAGACGCGAAAGCGUGGGGAGCAAACAGG